CGGCCGCACCCGAGCGGCAGCGCCGGGCGUUGCCAUGGGGACGCGGCCCGGCCCGGCCUGCCGGGAGAGCCGUGUGAGCGCAGCGUGGGUGGGUGUCCGUACACAGCGCCGAGGUGUUCCUAGACAAACGCGUUUACACGGAAUAUGUCUCAUGCUCGCGGCUGGAGGUGGCAUUUCCCCCAGGUGUACCGGCCCAGGGGGCCCCAAGUUCAUCCUCAAAUCUUGCACAUACCAGUGUGCACACCACUGGAUGAGUGUAAUGCCUUGCUGUGAGCACCUCCUUGUACAAUGUUCAGAUGAGUCACUGCAACAGCCCUAAAUCCUGCCAGUGUGCAAAAUCAAAAGCAAACAGAAGAAAAAAAGAUGCAGUAAUUUUCCCAUGAGCCGAACAAAUGUAAGAAUCGGCUACUGGGCAGCACCCCACACUCAUGGGAUUCAUCAGGAGAUCCAGGACUGAUGACUUGCUUCUCAGUUCAGGUUACAGGAAAUUCUUCCAAAGUUAUGGAACUACAACAAGUAUCCAAUAAAUAGAUGAAGGGGAGAAUCUUACAGCAAA